GAUGUCAUACUUCCAAGAAAAGCUUGCACUGUCAUAAAUAAAAAUCGCCUGUACCAUAACCGACACAGGUGGGUAGGUAGAGUAUACUAAGGGGCGCGAGAUAACUCUCUCUAAGGAACUCGGCAAAAUAACUCCGUAACUUCGGGAGAAGGAGUGCCUUAUUCGUAAGGCUGCAAUAACAAGAUCCAAGCAACUGUUUAUCAAAAACACAGGUCUCCGCUAAGUCGUAAGACGAUGUAUGGGGGCUGACGCCUGCCCAGUGCCAGAAGGUUAAAGAAGUCGGUUAGCAUUAGCGAAGCUGGUAACUGAAGCCCUGGUGAACGGCGGCCGUAACUAUAACGGUCCUAAGGUAGCGAAAUUCCUUGUCGGGUAAGUUCCGACCCGCACGAAAGGCGUAAUGAUUGGGAUACUGUCUCGGAGAGGGGCUCGGUGAAAUAGACUUGUCUGUGAAGAUGCGGACUACCUGCACCAGGACAGAAGACCCUAUGAAGCUUUACUGUAACUUGAAAUUGAAAUUGGACUUUAUUCGCGCAGUAUAGGUGGGAGGUGUUGAUUAUAAUCUUGCGGGAUUAUUGGAGCCAUCAGUGAGAUACCACUCUUGUAAUGUUAGAUUUCUAACUUUGAAUCAUUAUCUGGUCAAAGAACAGUUUCAGGCGGGCAGUUUGACUGGGGCGGUCGCCUCCUAGAUGGUAACGGAGGCGUACAAAGGUUUCCUCUGAACGGGUAGAAAUCGUAUCUAGAGUGUAAAGGCAUAAGGAAGCUUGACUGUGAGACCUACAAGUCGAGCAGGGACGAAAGUCGGUCUUAGUGAUCUGACGGUACUGAGUGGAAAGGCCGUCACUCAACGGAUAAAAGUUACUCUAGGAUAACAGGCUGAUCUCCCCCAAGAGUUCACAUCGACGGGGAGGUUUGGCACCUGGAUGUCGGCUCAUCGCAUCCUGGGGCGGUAGUACGUCCCAAGGGUUGGGCUGUUCGCCCAUGAAAGCGGUACGCGAGCUGGGUUCAGAACGUCGUGAGACAGUUCGGUCCAUAUCCGGUGUAGGCGUUAGAAUAUUGAGAGGAGCCUUCUUUAGUACGAGAGGACCGAGAAGGACAUACCUCUGGUGUACCAGUUAUCGUGCCAACGGUAAACGCUGGGUAGCUAUGUAUGGAGUGGAUAACCGCUGAAAGCAUCUAAGUGGGAAGCCCACCUCAAGAUAAG
rnacentral:rRNA from 1 species